CCUACGGGGGGCUGCAGUGGGGAAUCUUGCGCAAUGCGCGAAAGCGUGACGCAGCAACGCCGCGUGGGGGAAGAAGGCCUUCGGGUUGUAAACCUCUUUCAGUUGGGACGAAGCUUCUGCGGUGAAUAGCCGUAUGGAGUGACGGUACCUUCACAAGAAGCCCCGGCUAACUACGUGCCAGCAGCCGCGGUAAUACGUAGGGGGCAAGCGUUGUCCGGAAUCAUUGGGCGUAAAGCGCGUGUAGGCGGCUCGAUAAGUGCGUUCUGAAAGUCCAGGGCGCAACCCUGGGAUGCGGAUGGAUACUGUCGAGCUCGAGUCCGGAAGAGGCGAGUGGAAUGCCUGGUGUAGCGGUGAAAUGCGCAGAUAUCAGGAGGAACACCAAUGGCGAAGGCAGCUCGCUGGGACGUGACUGACGCUGAGACGCGAAAGCGUGGGGAGCAAACAGGAUUAGAUACCCUUGUAGUC
rnacentral:rRNA from 1 species